GGGUGACGAGCGGCGGACGGGUGAGUAAUGUCUGGGAAACUGCCUGAUGGCGGGGGAUAACUAGUGGAAACGGUAGCUAAUACCGCAUAACGUCGCAAGACCAAAGUGGGGGACCUUCGGGCCUCACGCCAUCAGAUGUGCCCAGGUGGGAUUAGCUGGUAGGUGAGGUAACGGCUCACCUAGGCGACGAUCCCUAGCUGGUCUGAGAGGAUGACCAGCCACACUGGAACUGAGACACGGUCCAGACUCCUACGGGAGGCAGCAGUGGGGAAUAUUGCACAAUGGGCGCAAGCCUGAUGCAGCCAUGCCGCGUGUGUGAAGAAGGCCUUCGGGUUGUAAAGCACUUUCAGCGAGGAGGAAGGGUAAUGUGUUAAUAAGACAUUGC
rnacentral:rRNA from 1 species